rnacentral:tRNA from 1 species
GCAAGAGUGGCCGAAAUUAGGCAAAAGACUGUAAAUCUUUUAAUGGUCAAAGCCCAUUGCAA